rnacentral:rRNA from 1 species
AGUAAUGUCUGGGAAACUGCCUGAUGGAGGGGGAGUAACUACUGGAAACGGUAGCUAAUACCGCAUAACGUCGCAAGACCAAAGAGGGGGACCUUCGGGCCUCUUGCCAUCAGAUGUGCCCAGAUGGGAUUAGCUAGUAGGUGGGGUAACGGCUCACCUAGGCGACAUCCCUAGCUGGUCUGAGAGGAUGACCAGCCACACUGGAACUGAGACACGGUCCAGACUCCUACGGGAGGCAGCAUG